GCGGUGGAAUGCGCAGAUAUCAGGAGGAACACCGAUGGCGAAGGCAGAUCUCUGGGCCGUAACUGACGCUGAGGAGCGAAAGCGUGGGGAGCGAACAGGAUUAGAUACCCUGGUAGUCCACGCCGUAAACGUUGGGAACUAGAUGUGGGGACCAUUCCACGGUCUCCGUGUCGCAGCUAACGCAUUAAGUUCCCCGCCUGGGGAGUACGGCCGCAAGGCUAAAACUCAAAGGAAUUGACGGGGGCCCGCACAAGCGGCGGAGCAUGCGGAUUAAUUCGAUGCAACGCGAAGAACCUUACCAAGGCUUGACAUAUACGAGAACGGGCUAGAAAUAGUCAACUCUUUGGACACUCGUAAACAGGUGGUGCAUGGUUGUCGUCAGCUCGUGUCGUGAGAUGUUGGGUUAAGUCCCGCAACGAGCGCAACCCUCGUUCUAUGUUGCCAGCACGUAAUGGUGGGAACUCAUAGGAGACUGCCGGGGUCAACUCGGAGGAAGGUGGGGAUGACGUCAAAUCAUCAUGCCCCUUAUGUCUUGGGCUUCACGCAUGCUACAAUGGCCGGUACAAAGGGCUGCAAUACCGUAAGGUGGAGCGAAUCCCAAAAAGCCGGUCUCAGUUCGGAUUGAGGUCUGCAACUCGACCUCAUGAAGUCGGAGUCGCUAGUAAUCGCAGAUCAGCAACGCUGCGGUGAAUACGUUCCCGGGCCUUGUACACACCGCCCGUCAAGUCAUGAAAGUCGGUAACACCCGAAGCCGGUGGCCUAACCCUUGUGGAAGGAGC
rnacentral:rRNA from 1 species